rnacentral:rRNA from 1 species
GACAGAGGGUGCAAACGUUGUUCGGAAUUACUGGGCGUAAAGCGCGUGUAGGCGGUUGCAUAAGUCGGAUGUGAAAUCCCUUGGCUCAACUGAGGAAGUGCACCCGAAACUGUGUAACUCGAGUCUCGGAGAGGAUAGUGGAAUUCUCGGUGUAGAGGUGAAAUUCGUAGAUAUCGAGAGGAACACCGGUGGCGAAGGCGGCUAUCUGGACGAUGACUGACGCUGAGACGCGAAAGCGUGGGGAG